rnacentral:rRNA from 1 species
UACAGAGGAUGCAAGCGUUAUCCGGAAUGAUUGGGCGUAAAGCGUCUGUAGGUGGCUUUUUAAGUCCGCCGUCAAAUCCCAGGGCUCAACUCUGGACAGGCGGUGGAAACUACCAAGCUGGAGUACGGUAGGGGCAGAGGGAAUUUCCGGUGGAGCGGUGAAAUGCGUAGAGAUCGGAAAGAACACCCGUGGCGAAGGCGGUUCUCUGGGACGGUACUGACGCUGAGACGCGAAAGCGUGGGGAGCGAACAGG